UUGAACAAAAUUAACAUACAGGUGAACUGGUCUGGUCUCCAGCUCGGAGUCUGUCAGGUCUUAGCUAAUGCCUAGAGCCUUGGCAAAAGCUGGCACCUGCUCUGCCUGCAGUACAGCCUCAUUAU